rnacentral:rRNA from 1 species
GACGCUGGCGGUAGGCUUAACACAUGCAAGUCGUGCGAGAAAGUAUCUUCGGAUAUGAGUAGAGCGGCGGACGGGUGAGUAACGCGUAGGAAUCUACCUAGUAGAAGGGGAUAGCCCGGGGAAACUCGGAUUAAUACCGUAUACCUCCUUCGGGAGAAAGAAGGCCUCUCUUUGAAGCUUUCGCUAUUAGAUGAGCCUGCGUAAGAUUAGCUUGUUGGUGAGGUAAAGGCUCACCAAGGCGACGAUCUUUAGCGGGUCUGAGAGGACGAUCCGCCACAUUGGGACUGAGACACGGCCCAGACUCCUACGGGAGGCAGCAGUGGGGAAUAUUGGACAAUGGGCGCAAGCCUGAUCCAGCCAUACCGCGUGUGUGAAGAAGGCCCUAGGGUUGUAAAGCACUUUAAGUUGGGAAGAAAAGUUAUUGGUUAAUACCCAAUAACCGUGACAUUACCAUCAGAAUAAGGACCGGCUAAUUCCGUGCCAGCAGCCGCGGUAAUACGGAAGGUCCAAGCGUUAAUCGGAAUUACUGGGCGUAAAGCGCGCGUAGGUGGUUUAUUAAGUUGGAUGUGAAAUCCCCGGGCUCAACCUGGGAACUGCAUCCAAAACUGAUUCACUAGAGUACGAUAGAGGGAGGUAGAAUUCACAGUGUAGCGGUGGAAUGCGUAGAUAUUGUGAAGAAUACCAAUGGCGAAGGCAGCCUCCUGGAUCUGUACUGACACUGAGGUGCGAAAGCGUGGGUAGCGAACAGGAUUAGAUACCCUGGUAGUCCACGCCGUAAACGAUGUCAACUAGCUGUUGGAGAACUAUGUUCUUCAGUGGCGCAGCUAACGUAGUAAGUUGACCGCCUGGGGAGUACGGCCGC